UACGUAGGGGGGCAAGCGUUGUCCGGAAUCAUUGGGCGUAAAGGGCGCGUAGGCGGCCUUCUAAGUCGAACGUGAAAUCCCCGGGCUCAACCCGGGAACUGCGUCCGAUACUGGAAGGCUUGAAUCCGGGAGAGGGAUGCGGAAUUCCAGGUGUAGCGGUGAAAUGCGUAGAUAUCUGGAGGAACACCGGUGGCGAAGGCGGCAUCCUGGACCGGUAUUGACGCGUGACGGCGCGAAAGCUAGGGGAGCAAACGGG
rnacentral:rRNA from 1 species